rnacentral:lncRNA from 1 species
UUCUUUAAGGCUAAAUUAUAUAAAAUCCUUGUCAAUACCCUUUUUUCACUUUUCUCCCUAUCAUUUUAAAACCUAAACUUUACCCCCUUAUAAAAUAAAAAAUAUUUAUAAGGGUACAAUGUGAACUGUGAUGACAAAAUGACUAAUUUGCCCCUCACCAUCUCAUCCGUCGCCUCUUCUCUUCCAUUUUUCGCGGCUCGAUCGGCCACAGUUCGUCUCUAUUCUCUUCUCCACCUGUUCCCCUUCUCCUCUUGCAUCCUCGUCGCCCCACUAUUUUGGCGACAGUACGGAGGAAAUUGAGGUAGGCGUGGAUGGAGAGGUAGGCAAGAGCAAGGGCGAGGGCGAAGGCUAGGUGGCGGAGGAGGGCGAGGGGGUGUUUGUGGGCGCGAACAAAAAUGUGGGCGAGGGCGAGGCAGCAAAGGAGGGCGAGGCAGCGAGGUGGAGGAGGGUGAGGCGGAGACUGAGGGUAAUUUUGGUAUAAAAAAAUAUAUAAUAAUAUUUAUAAACGAAACCCUAAUGAAGCAGUAACGACAGGAGGUGAAGUGAACAUUUUUUAUUUUACAAGAAGACAAAGUAUAGCUUUUUAAAUGACGGGAAAAAGUGAAAAAGCGAGUAUUGACAGAAAAAUUUUCUGUAAUUUACCCAUUUUUUAAUUUCAUCAGUCCAACAACAAUCCACACAACCUUCAAACAAAGUUAUAAUUGACAAAAUAACUAAACAAU